CGGAGGAAAAAGAAACCAACCGGGAUUGCCCUAGUAACGGCGAGUGAAGCGGCAACAGCUCAAAUUUGAAAUCUGGCUCUUUUAGAGUCCGAGUUGUAAUUUGCAGAGGGCGCUUUGGCUUUGGCAGCGGUCCAAGUUCCUUGGAACAGGACGUCACAGAGGGUGAGAAUCCCGUACGUGGUCGCUGGCUAUUGCCGUGUAAAGCCCCUUCGACGAGUCGAGUUGUUUGGGAAUGCAGCUCUAAAUGGGAGGUACAUUUCUUCUAAAGCUAAAUAUUGGCCAGAGACCGAUAGCGCACAAGUAGAGUGAUCGAAAGAUGAAAAGCACUUUGGAAAGAGAGUCAAACAGCACGUGAAAUUGUUGAAAGGGAAGCGCUUGCAGCCAGACUUGCUUGCAGUUGCUCAUCCGGGCUUUUGCCCGGUGCACUCUUCUGCAGGCAGGCCAGCAUCAGUUUGGGCGGUAAGAUAAAGGUCUCUGUCACGUACCUCUCUUCGGGGAGGCCUUAUAGGGGAGACGACAUAUUACCAGCCUGGACUGAGGUCCGCGCAUCUGCUAGGAUGCUGGCGUAAUGCUGUAGCGGCCCGUCUUGAACCGGGACCAGUCUCCGCUUUUUCCUCCCGUUAUUGCAUAUGCCCGC
rnacentral:rRNA from 1 species